rnacentral:rRNA from 1 species
GACGAACGCUGGCGGCGUGCUUAACACAUGCAAGUCGAACGGUGAAGCGCCUUCCUUUUUGGUGGGUGUGGAUGAGUGGCGAACGGGUGAGUAACACGUGAGUAACCUGCCCCCUUCUUCUGGAUAACCGCAUGAAAGUGUGGCUAAUACGGGAUAUUCUGGGUCUGUCGCAUGAUGGGUCUGGGACAGAUAUUGUUUCGGUGGGGGAUGGGCUCGCGGCCUAUCAGCUUGUUGGUGGGGUGAUGGCCUACCAAGGCGGUGAGGGGUAGCCGGCCUGAGAGGGUGGACGGUCACACUGGGACGGAAACACGGACCAGACUCCGAGAGGCAGCAGCAGUGAGGAAUAUUGAACGAUGGGCGGAAGCCUGAUGCAGCGACGCCGCGUGAGGGAUGGAGGCCUUCGGGUUGUGAACCUCUUUCGCCAGUGAAGCAGGCCUGCCUCGUUUGUGGGUGGGUUGACGGUAGCUGGAUAAGAAGCGCCGGCUAACUACGUG